ensembl:snRNA U6 U6 spliceosomal RNA
GUGCUUACUUUGGCAGCACAUAUACUAAAAUUGGAACGAUACAGAGAAUAGCAUGGCCCCUAUGCAAGGAUUCAUGCAAAUUCAUGUAGCGUUCCACAUUUUU